UUGCUGAAAUCAGUGACAAACCUCCCUUUGGCUUCAAGAUGGUCAGAAUUGUCUUCCCUGGUCUUCAGACUGCAUGUCGGCCCUUCAGAUCCAACCUCAGGGAGAAGCAAUGCUGAUCCUAGUUUGUCCUUCACUGACCUUUCCUGAACUGGGUGUUUCAUGAUUUCCAGUAUUUAGUCUGUACAAUUUAUAUCCCACCAGGGAAGAGUGCUAGGUUAGGAGGAAGGAGUACAAAGGGAAAGGCAAAUGUCAAGGCAGCUUCAAGUCCCUGAACUUGCACAACCCACAUCAGGGAGCAUCAGGAAGCUGAGUUACUACACAGAAGCUCUGGGGUUCAGACCUUUUACAUCCUUCCUGGACACACUAACCAAGCCAAGGCCAGUCUGCUCCAGAGAAACUCUCCCCCAGAUUGGCAGGCAGCUUGCAAGAAAUCUCUUCUUUGCAUCACACAGCAAGAUAUUUCCUGAAGAGGAAGUACCACAUGAGGCAGUGCAGGGAGCUCACAGCCAGCCCCCACCAACAUAUGCAAUUGAGCCUCAACCCUUGCAGUCACUGACCACUAUUUCUGCUGUUAUUUCCAGGAAAAAUUUACAAAAAUCUGUUGUAAGACCAGAGGAGAAAUCUGUCUGGGGAGAAGAAGAGGACUGGGAUCCCUUGGGAUAAGCAUAAGGACAAGACAGCUACAGCUCUCCGCUUAACUCUAAUCUGCUUUCAAGGUAAAGCACAGAAGGGAUUUAUAUUGCCACGUGCCAGGCCUGGGAUGCAGAAGAUUCUUUAUACACGUGUGAGUUGGAAACUGUUUCUCAGGAUCCUGGAAAGAAAGAUCCUUCCGUACCAGAAGAAAUGGAGGUUAAUACAGCCAUUCCCAGUGUUCUUCAAAAACGGUCUUCUUUUUUUAACAAGAUACCGAAUGCUCUGUCCAGAGUACGCGCUCUCCUCUCAAGUUGUCUACCGUGCCACAGGAAAUGUCAGAAAGUCACGCCAGAGAUUAUACCUCCAUGUUAAAUUGUUUUAAGAAAAUAUAAAAAAUAUAAAUAGAGUUAGGAAAAAUGUGGUCUGGUGUAAGUCUGUCAAUCGUACUUGGCGAUUGUUUGCAACUUCAUUCUCAGGUAGUUAAAAACUCUACAAAGAGGGCAGACAGAGAAGGCAGACAGGAAACCUGCUCCACAGGGACGAGGAAGGCUCCUUUUAGGAUGUGUUAUUCAGGAGUUAAAGUGCGCUCCCAAGCAGUUGGCUGUGCCACCGGAGGUCAGAUGGAGAGAGAUCAGGAGCCAGCCCAACCAGCAAGUAGUGCCACAAGGGCCAGAUAGCUCCUUGAGAUAACUUGGAGGUGCCAGCAGAUAAUGCCAUUUGGAGUUAAAGCCAGCAGAUAAUGCCAUUUGGAGAUAGCAGCAAUCUCCACCUGGACUCAUGGAGUAACCAGAAGACCCCUGGAAUGGCAGGUGCUGACACAUCAUUCUCAGCGCCAGAAGAGGGAACAAUUUUGUGAAUCUUCAACUACAGCGACUGGGGUUUAACCCAAGUUCUCUACGCAGAAGAGCAGCAUGGCACAGCUGCCUGAGGGGAAUAAACACCCAGGAGUGAGGACCAGUCUGUGCUGAUCUGGCAGCAGGGAGAGGUGAAGGUAUGUGUAGGGAAGGGCUGUGUGUGUACAGAGGGGCUGUUUGUGGGGUGGGAGGGGCUGCGUGUGUUUGUAGGAAAGGACUGGGCCUGUGUGUGUGUGUGUGUGUGUGUGUGUGUGUGUGUGUGUGUUGGAAGGGCUGCAUCUGUGUGUAUGGAGGGGUGCAUGUGUGUGUGGGUGUGUUCGUAGGGUGAGUCCCACAUGCACACCCCACCAUACCCAUGU